CCAUAGAGUCUGGAGGCCUAGAGCGACGCCGCUCGGAGAGAAGGAGGGUUAAUGGCGGCUUUGAGCCGCGCCGGAAGUUCCGGGUGAAGACAGGACUGUUCCUGACAACGGAUCCAUAGUACCAUCCGCCAACAAGUGUUGCUGCCGCAAAACAGACGAUCCUUUCUCUCCUUCGCCGGCGUCGCGGAAAGGUGCCAUGCCUCAGUGGAGACACAGGAGGGCGCCCGAGAGCAAGAAACGAGGCGCGGUCUCCGUGACGUCACAAGCAACGGACAAGAAAAGAACAUUAUAGAAUGGCCACGCCCCUUAACUGCCGGUGGCGCACGAAGCUAAAGAGCCGGCCUUCGGAGCCUGAGAUCACGGGUUCGAGCCCCGCUUCGCCCUUUUGCGAAAAGGCUGUUUACAAAACAGGAAUUUUCAUUGUUUAAAAAUACUUUUUGAAUUUUAUUUUUGUUAUUAUUUUAUUUUUCACAUUUAUUUUA